rnacentral:rRNA from 1 species
CAGCAGCCGCGGGAAUACGUAGGGUGCGAGCGUUGUCCGGAAUUAUUGGGCGUAAAGAGCUUGUAGGCGGUCUGUCGCGUCUGAUGUGAAAUCCCCGGGCUCAACCUGGGAACUGCAUCUUAUACUGCGUAGCUGGAGUGCAGUAGAGGGUAGUGGAAUUUCCGGUGUAGCGGUGAAAUGCGUAGAUAUCGGAAGGAACACCUGUGGCGAAAGCGGCUCACUGGACAAUAACUGACGCUGAUGCACGAAAGCUAGGGGAGCAAACAGGAUUAGAUACCCGCGUAGUCCCUGUCUCUUAUAC